rnacentral:rRNA from 1 species
GACGAACGCUGGCGGCGUGCUUAACACAUGCAAGUCGAACGGAAAGGCCCUGCUUUUGUGGGCUGCUCGAGUGGCGAACGGGUGAGUAACACGUGAGUAACCUGCCCUUGACUUUGGGAUAACUUCAGGAAACUGGGGCUAAUACCGGAUAGGAGCUCCUGCUGCAUGGUGGGGGUUGGAAAGUUUCGGCGGUUGGGGAUGGACUCGCGGCUUAUCAGCUUGUUGGUGGGGUAGUGGCUUACCAAGGCUUUGACGGGUAGCCGGCCUGAGAGGGUGACCGGCCACAUUGGGACUGAGAUAAGGCCCAGACUCCUACGGGAGGCAGCAGUGGGGAAUAUUGCACAAUGGGCGGAAGCCUGAUGCAGCAACGCCGCGUGCGGGAUGACGGCCUUCGGGUUGUAAACCGCUUUCGCCUGUGACGAAGCGUGAGUGACGGUAAUGGGUAAAGAAGCACCGGCUAGCUACGUG